CUGAUAACCUACCAGCUGGUAAGAUCUGGCAGGUCUUGUGGUUAGACUGUCACUACCUUUUCUUCUAAGGAAAGCUUCUCCAAAGCCCAUCCUACUGUAGAAAUGCUUCCCUCUACACGCAACACAAGGAGCUUCCUGUUUCAGAAGCUUGUCCCUGUGACUGGCCAGCCACCCCUGUUACAGACAUGUUCCAUAUGCAGAGCUGGAACAAUCCUCAAAGGCCACCCCAUCAGUCCUUGCUCUGAUCUUUGGAGUGAUCCCAAAUGAUUUGGAUCUCUUCUCUGCAUACCAGUCCUUUGGCAUUGGAUACAGGAUCCCAUGUCUGCUCACGCUGUAGGAGUUUAAAAAGAGACCUGAGGAACAGAAAUUUAAAGAGAAACCAAAAUAAAUAAAUAAAUAA